rnacentral:lncRNA from 1 species
GCGGGGGUAGCGGCUGCGGGCCGGGCGGCUUCCCGGGGCGUGGCGGAGCGGGCGCUGUUCACAGCCCGGUGCUCCUCCCGGUGCCUCGCCCUGCACAUCACCCACUUCGGACCGGCCUUCCCAACUCUGCAGAACAAUGAGAUUCUGACCUGGUGCAGUAACAACCGAAGAUGUUCUCAGCAAGGAAUGUUCUUAAUAAUGAGGAUCCUGUGUUCGCGUUGCCGCUUUGAUUAAUAGCGUGGGAAGACGGCAGCACUUCUCAGCACCCAUGUGUCUUGCCGGGAUGUUUGCAAGAGGCGUGCAAACACAUCAAGGAGAGCAGAGACCCUCAAGUAUGCUGUUGACAUUUCAAAGCUGAGAGUUUCGAG